rnacentral:rRNA from 1 species
UACGGAGGGGGCUAGCGUUGUUCGGAAUUACUGGGCGUAAAGCGCACGUAGGCGGCUUUGCAAGUUAGAGGUGAAAGCCUGGAGCUCAACUCCAGAAUUGCCUUUAAGACUGCAUCGCUUGAAUCCGGGAGAGGUGAGUGGAAUUCCGAGUGUAGAGGUGAAAUUCGUAGAUAUUCGGAAGAACACCAGUGGCGAAGGCGGCUCACUGGACCGGUAUUGACGCUGAGGUGCGAAAGCGUGGGGAGCAAACAGG